rnacentral:rRNA from 1 species
GAUGAACGCUGGCGGCGUGCCUAAUACAUGCAAGUCGAGCGAACAGAUAAGGAGCUUGCUCCUUUGACGUUAGCGGCGGACGGGUGAGUAACACGUGGAUAACCUACCUAUAAGACUGGGAUAACUUCGGGAAACCGGAGCUAAUACCGGAUAACAUAUUGAACCGCAUGGUUCAAUAGUGAAAGGCGGCUUUGCUGUCACUUAUAGAUGGAUCCGCGCCGUAUUAGCUAGUUGGUAAGGUAACGGCUUACCAAGGCAACGAUACGUAGCCGACCUGAGAGGGUGAUCGGCCACACUGGAACUGAGACACGGUCCAGACUCCUACGGGAGGCAGCAGUAGGGAAUCUUCCGCAAUGGGCGAAAGCCUGACGGAGCAACGCCGCGUGAGUGAUGAAGGUCUUCGGAUCGUAAAACUCUGUUAUCAGGGAAGAACAAAUGUGUAAGUAACUGUGCACAUCUUGACGGUACCUGAUCAGGAAGCCACGGCUAACUACGUG